rnacentral:rRNA from 1 species
CUGACCGUGCAAAGGUAGCGUAAUCACUUGUCUCUUAAAUGGGGACCUGUAUGAAUGGCCAAACGAGGGCUUAACUGUCUCCUUUUUCAAGUCAGUGAAAUUGAUCUUCCCGUGCAGAAGCGGGGAUACUUCCAUAAGACGAGAAGACCCUAUGGAGCUUUAGACACCAAGGCAUACCAUGUUAAAGCCCCCAAAUUAAAGGACUAAACUAAAUGAGCCCAUGCCUAUAUGUCUUAGGUUGGGGCGACCCCGAGGAAAUAAAAAACCCCCGAGUGGACUGGGAACAUACUCCUAAAACCAAGAGCUACAGCUCUAAUUAACAGACAUUUCUGACCAAAAAAGAUCCGGUGAAUUCCGAUCAACGGAACAAGUUACCCUAGGGAUAACAGCGCAAUCCCCUUUUAGAGUUCAUAUCGACAAGGGGGUUUACGACCUCGAUGUUGGAUCAGGACAUCCUAGUGGUGCAGCAGCUAUUAAGGGUUCGUUUGUUCAACGAUUAAAGUCCUACGUGAUCUGAGUUCAGACCGGAG